CCAGAAUAAAAGCUUCAUCCUCUGUUCCUCUUCCAGAGGCGGAGGCUCAACUGCGACCCCACCUUUGAGUUGGAGGAGAUGAUUCUGGAGUCUAAACCGCUGCACAAGAAGAAGAAGAGACUAGCCAGGAAGACCAGAGAGCAGGGUUCUGACGGGUCCCCCCAGAACGGUCAGCUCCAACAGCGCCUGGACAAUGUGGAGAGGGACUUCCUCAUCUUCAACAGAGAAAGGUCAAAGAAGGCUGUAGUGGGAACAGAAGCAACAGGCCUCACCACGACAGAGAAGAACAAGGCUAUUGAAGACGGACAGAACAAUAACGUGGACCCGGCAGCCUACAUAUCAGGAUAG
rnacentral:lncRNA from 1 species